UACGGGGGGGGCAAGCGUUGUUCGGAAUUACUGGGCGUAAAGGGCGCGUAGGCGGCCUGCUAAGUCGGACGUGAAAUCCCGGGGCUCAACCUCGGAAUUGCAUUCAAUACUGCUUCGCUCGAGUACUGGAGAGGAGGCUGGAAUUUACGGUGUAGCAGUGAAAUGCGUAGAUAUCGUAAGGAAGGCCGGUGGCGAAAGCGAGCCUCUGGACAGUUACUGACGCUGAUGCACGAAGGCCAGGGGAGCAAACGGG
rnacentral:rRNA from 1 species